rnacentral:lncRNA from 1 species
AAAAGAAUAAGAGAAGUAAGAGGAGUCGUCGGUAGAAGAGAAAAAAUAGGAGUUGGAGGAGAAAGAAGAUAAAACGGAUGAAAGAAAAUAAGUGACAAAGAACAAAAGAAGAAGAAAGAGGCAGAAGAAAAAGAAGAAAGAAGAUGACCAAAAAAGAAGGGAAAUAAGAUAAAAAAAGCGAAGAAGAACAAAGGAAGGAGGGGGACUGAGAAAAAUAAACAAGAUGAAGAUGAGGAGAAGGAGAAUAAAACUUAGAAAAAAGAGCAAAAAUAAAGAAAGGAAGAAUGAGAAGAAAAGAUGUGAGCAAAACCAAAAGGAAGAGUACCAAGAAAGAGUAAAAGGAGGUGGAGAAAGAUGAUUGAAAAAGAGAAGAAAACCAUAUAAUAUACUAUACAAGAUAUAUGCCCGUUGCAACGCAACGGGUUUUGUUUGAUGUUUUAAUUUAAUAAAAACC